GGUCCUGUAGCUCAGCCUGGUAGAGCAGGUGGCUUUUAAUCACCGUGUCGCGCGUUCAAAUCGCGCCGGGACCAC
rnacentral:tRNA from 1 species